CUUUUACAGCAUAUUGCUGUGGCUACAAAAUCCAUGAUCCCUCAGGUAAAAAUGUCAAGGUCAUGUCUAAACUUACGCCGGACUUCUGUCCCGUAGCUAGCUAUCUGCCUGCAGGACACCAGAAAUGUGAAUCAUCCAGAGCUCAGAUUGAAAAUUCUAGCUGUCAUGGACAUGUUACAGUUCGUGUAGAGAUGAUAAUUACAUGCACAGAACAACAGAUUUUUUGUACUCUUAAGAAUUUUGUACAGUGCGUACGGAAUGAAACAAUUUAGUUUACUAAAUCUGGGAGACACUUGUGUAUGUUCGACAUUAAAGUGUAUAUGUGUGUUUGUGUGCUAUGUGACUGUUUUACCAUGUUUUCAUGGAAGACUUGCGCCAAAAAGUUGGGUGAAUAGAUGCAUCUUCAAAAAAUUUAUAUGUGUGUGUUUAAAGUUCAACAUUGUGACAUGAUUCCCUAUGUUUUAUAGAUAUAUUUCCUUGUAAAUGUUUCAGAUUUACAUGUAUUGUUAGUUAAUAACAUCAUUUUAUAAUUAAUUUACUCUCUUCGUAGAGGGUACAUGAUAUGUAUUAGUACAUUACAACUGUGUGGCAUUCAAAGUUCUUAAUGUUACGGGGAAAAAAAUGGACAAAUUACUGAAAUUGUUCUCCAUUUUAUUUAAUAUGUGUUGCAUGUUUAUCAUGGUUGUAAGUCAAGAAGGCAGACUUUACAAGUAUUGCAUUCAACAGUAGUGCUUAUUUUAUAUGUAUGUCUAGGUAAAGUUUCUACCCAGAUGUUGGGCAGAACUGUUCAAUUUUUUAUUUAUGUUAGCCUUGUCUUGCAUUUAAGAUUUUUUUCAUUUAAAAUUAUUCUAUUUUCAUACACUUUAUUUUUUUUUUUUUACUUACUAGUCUAUAAAAAAAGGAAAAUAAUAUCUGUUUUCAUAAGUUUCUAAGAAUGGCGGUUUUUAUAAUCUUAUUGGACCUAAUGCAGUUGCUUAAAAUGUUAGCUCUCCUAUUUGCAGGUUCAUGAAACUUUGUUGAAAUUCUUUAUUUGCUUAUUAUACAAUGUUGCAAAAUCAUGAGAAAAAAGUAUGAGUUUUGAAAACGCAUAUGUACGAUUUACAGAUGCAAGAUUUAUUAACAGUCUUUUUUACAAUGAAACCCUUUGUAAAUGACUAUAUUAUAAAUGAUGUGCUAUAAAAAUAUAUAUGAUUUCAUUGUAAACACCGUAUAACAUUAAAAGUCAUUUAAAUGUAUUUGCAUUUCUUUGUAAUAUCAUCCCUCACUACAAUAAAUUAUUAAC
rnacentral:misc_RNA from 1 species